rnacentral:rRNA from 1 species
GACGAACGCUGGCGGCGUGGAUUAGGCAUGCAAGUCGAACGGUAUCAUCCUUUCGGGGGUGAGAGAGUGGCGAACUGGUGAGUAACACGUAGGUUAUCUACCCUCAAGGACGGGGACAACCCAGGGAAACUUGGGCUAAUACCGGAUGUGAGCAACUUUUAGUUGUUUGAAAGGUGGCGUAAGCUGUCGCUUGGGGAUGAGCCUGCGUCCUAUUAGUUAGUUGGUGAGGUAACGGCUCACCUAGGCAAUGAUAGGUAGGCGGCCUUAACGGGUGGUCGCCCACACUGGGAUUGAGAUACGGCCCAGACUCCUACGGGAGGCAGCGGUCGAGAAUAGUCUACAAUGGUCGGAAGACUGAUAGUGCGACGCCGCGUGAACGAUGAAUCCCUUCGGGGUGUAAAGUUCUUUUAUAUGUGAGCAGUGCUUCUUAUAUUAACAGUAUGGGGAGAGAGAUAUUAGCAUAUGAAUAAGCAACGGCUAACUCCGUG